AACGAACGCUGGCGGCAUGCCUAACACAUGCAAGUGGAACGAGACCUUCGGGUCUAGUGGCGCACGGGUGCGUAACGCGUGGGAACCUGCCCUUAGGUUCGGAAUAACUCCCCGAAAGGGGUGCUAAUACCGGAUAAUGUCUUCGGACCAAAGAUUUAUCGCCUUUGGAUGGGCCCGCGUUGGAUUAGCUAGUUGGUAGGGUAAAAGCCUACCAAGGCGACGAUCCAUAGCUGGUCUGAGAGGAUGAUCAGCCACACUGGGACUGAGACACGGCCCAGACUCCUACGGGAGGCAGCAGUGGGGAAUAUUGGACAAUGGGCGAAAGCCUGAUCCAGCAAUGCCGCGUGAGUGAUGAAGGCCUUAGGGUUGUAAAGCUCUUUUACCCGGGAUGAUAAUGACAGUACCGGGAGAAUAAGCGCCGGCUAACUCCGUG
rnacentral:rRNA from 1 species